AGCCAGCACAGAAUGCCAGGCUACUAAAUCAGGGCACAGAUGACUCAUCGUUCAUUUCUAAGACUUCAGUCUGUGCUUUCGCCCGAUUCUCGGUACCAGGUCGGUGCUGGCGCCGACAAAUGGAGGUCCCACCGAGAUCGGAGAAGAAAGGGGGUACCACCUACGGGACGUCCCUGGAGCCCGGCCGGCAUAGGAGGAGAAGGGACGGAUUGGACGUAAGAUGGGUCAGGAAAGGCCUGGAUGAUUUGGGCUAGCCUGAGUAAAACUUGUCAUAAAAAAGGGACAAGGUAACGGUAAAGUGUUUUUGCAUAUGUGUUCUGUUAGAGUUAUAUUUUAGUCUUUGGACCCUGACUAGAGAUAGUUUAUACCCUAGACAUGAGAGAGAACGGGUUGGGGAAAAACAGUCCUCCCGGACUCUCCGAGGUUGCUUUGGAGAAAGAAAAACCUUUUCAGAGCUCUCCUAGGAACAGAGGGAAAGCAGGAACGUCCUGCCUCUCUGCUGGCUCCUAUUGGAGAAAUGCUUAUUUCUGGUUCUGGGUUCCAUAGGUAGGAUAUGUGGGUCCCUUCAGUGGGACACCAUCUAGUUUUUUCCCUUUAUGUCUAUUGUUUGUCCUUGGUGCACCAAGCUGUCCAUGUCUGUCAGUUUAUGUCUGUGGUUUUUGUUUCUCGUUGUUUAAAUGUUUUGUGUUUCAUGUUUAAAAGAAAAGGUUAAAAUUUUAAAUGCUGGUUGAUUCACCCAUUGAUGUAGUUUUAACUCCUUUCAAAAAAG
rnacentral:lncRNA from 1 species